rnacentral:lncRNA from 1 species
GACAGCAAACAUUCAUUCUUCACUGUUUCUGGAGGUCGGAGUUCAGGAGUGGCUCUGGCUGGUGGCUCUGGCUGGAGUCUGUCCUCGGGCUGCAGUGACUCUGCUUCUCUGGGUCUCUCUGGGGGGCCGCAGGCGGGGGGCUACGUGCCGCGUGUCCUCAGACAAAGGACGCUCCCCGGCAGCCAGGGUCAGUGUCACGUGGCAUCUGUCCUGCUUCACCCGUCAGUUGGAAUCCAGUGGCCCCGGCCAGACCCGGCUCCAGGGAAGGCAGCAGGCUGCACCUCUAGAAGGGAGGGGACACAUGGCAGAGUCACUCCAGCACCAGGAGGGUGAGGCCCAACGUCAACACGUCUGCGAGGACACCGGGCACACACCAUGGCGCACGUCCGUCUUCACAGGCGGAAUCCGUCCCUGGAGCCGCGUCCCUCGCAGUAGCCACCAGCCGCCACAUGUGGCUACUUACAUUCCAGUUUAAAUUAAUGAACG